UUAAAGAUUUUUUUUGAAAUCACAAAACAUUAACUUUCGAAAACUA
rfam:TPA: Bos taurus chromosome 8, whole genome shotgun sequence.